GUCGAACGGUAACAGGAAGCAGCUUGCUGCUUUGCUGACGAGUGGCGGACGGGUGAGUAAUGUCUGGGAAACUGCCUGAUGGAGGGGGAUAACUACUGGAAACGGUAGCUAAUACCGCAUAACGUCGCAAGACCAAAGAGGGGGACCUUCGGGCCUCUUGCCAUCGGAUGUGCCCAGAUGGGAUUAGCUAGUAGGUGGGGUAAAGGCUCACCUAGGCGACGAUCCCUAGCUGGUCUGAGAGGAUGACCAGCCACACUGGAACUGAGACACGGUCCAGACUCCUACGGGAGGCAGCAGUGGGGAAUAUUGCACAAUGGGCGCAAGCCUGAUGCAGCCAUGCCGCGUGUAUGAAGAAGGCCUUCGGGUUGUAAAGUACUUUCAGCGGGGAGGAAGGGAGUAAAGUUAAUACCUUUGCUCAUUGACGUUACCCGCAGAAGAAGCACCGGCUAACUCCGUGCCAGCAGCCGCGGUAAUACGGAGGGUGCAAGCGUUAAUCGGAAUUACUGGGCGUAAAGCGCACGCAGGCGGUUUGUUAAGUCAGAUGUGAAAUCCCCGGGCUCAACCUGGGAACUGCAUCUGAUACUGGCAAGCUUGAGUCUCGUAGAGGGGGGUAGAAUUCCAGGUGUAGCGGUGAAAUGCGUAGAGAUCUGGAGGAAUACCGGUGGCGAA
rnacentral:rRNA from 1 species